GCCGAGGUAGCUCAGUUGGGAGAGCGAUAGACUGAAGAUCUAUAGGUCAGCAGUUCAAUCCUGUUUCUCGGCA